ACUGUGUGCAAUGAGGUACUCGCUUUGUCGGAUCUUCACCCCGGUAUGACCGAGUCAGAGUGUGUGAAUCUUUGCGACGCCCUCUUCAUCAUGGCCCUGGACACAGAGGAACAGAUAACAGACGACAUCUGUCAACAACAGUGCGCACGGGCGGUCAGCGGUGGGAUCAAGAACUGCCAUGAUUGAUGACGACAAAGUCUGUUCCCAACAACUCAAGUGAAGGGAAGAAAGGAAAAAUUCAGAAUGAACAUAACAUUAAAUUGUUUCAUAGGAA